rnacentral:lncRNA from 10 species
CUGUAAACUGAGGGUGGCAAUAGCACCUGCCCCGCAGGGUUGUUGUGACUAUUAAAUGAACUUAGAACAGUGUCUGGCAUGCAAUAGGUACGCAGUGCACUAUUCUUCUUCCCUAACUAGAGCUUCUUAUGUCUGUCCGGUCUUCAUCAAUAGAUCCGUAGGAAGCACCCGCCAGACACUGUGUCCCGCCCCUGCCUUCAAGCUGCUCUAGCAGAGAUGGGAGAGACACAAGUGUCAACAGCCUAACGGCAGUAACCCUAUUACGCAAGUUGGAGCAACAGGCUUCAGAGAACAGAGUAGCAAACUGCCUAGAGGAGGAGAAGGUACACAGAGCAGUGACAUUUGCUCCAGCUCUAGAAGAGCACCUCUGAGAUUUCCUGGCUGACACAUCGCAUCUCCCUCUGGCCACAGCCAAGCAACACCAGAUGUCUGCAGUAGCAGUAACACUUUGGAUUCCUGAUGGAAAACUCCAAGACGAGCCUCUGUGAAAUACCUGCUUCAUUUUGGCUUCAUUUUCAUGCCUCAUUAUCUGACCCAUUUACUUCUUACCUCAGGGCACAGACCACGGCUGUGACACUCCGUAAAAUCCUGUGGGAUGGGGAAGAGUGAAAAUGACACACCGGUGGGGCAAGGUGGCUCAUGCCUGUAAUCCUAGCACUUUGGGAGGCCGAGGCGAGUGGAUUACCUGAGAUCAGGAGUUCGAGACCAGCCUGGCCAACAUGGUGAAACCCUGUCUCUACUAAAAAUACAAAAAUUAGCCAGGCGUGGUAGUGGGUACCUGCAGUCCCAGCUACUCUGGAGGCUGAGACAGGAGAAUCGCUUGAACCCGGGGGGCAGAGGUUGCAGUGAGCUGAGAUGGCACCACUACACUCCAGCCUGGGUGAAAGAGUGAAACUCUGUCUCGGGGGGGAAAAAAAAAGACACAGACCUCUCAGGGCAUGGCUGCUUAGGAGGCUAUGAGGCUCUUGCAAGAUUUUCCCCAUUUUUCAUGGCUGCCCUCAGAGAAUAGAAUUGCCACAAUUUUAAGGAUAAAGAAACAGGCUUGGAGAGGCCAGAGGCUUGCCCAAUACCACACACACAGGGGUGCCUUUGUGUUUCUGGGUCAAUGCUGUUUUUCACACAGACUGGACCUCAUGGGGGUCAGGAGCAGUGGGACCACCUCGUGCUCUCUCCGCGCUCAUACCUUCUCAUGGUGUCAAUCUCCCCUUCCCUCCCAGACAGAGCAAUGCAUGCUUGCCACCUUGAUGGUGCAAGCAUCACUAGAUCUGAAUUUGAGGUGAGGAAAUUCAAGGCAACCACAGUACACGUUGUCCCCCGUCGGACCCAGGGAAAGGCACUUGAGACAGGAGCAGGCCUGUGGUGCUCUUGGCACAAGGCAAAAUGGAGGAACAGGGUGGUGGUGGCAGGGUGCCCUAACCUGGUCUUGGGGGGUUUAAGAAGUUCCUGUUUUGAAGUGUUUCAAUAGCCAGUGAGAGUGAGCCAUGGAGAAUAAAAAUGUACAAGUAAACAGUCGUUCCACUUAUACACAGUUAAGGACUUGUGGGAGGGGGGCAAGUUCCAGUUUUUCAACAUAGUUUCUGAUUGAAAGUGCCAUUGUAACCCUCAUUAUGGCCACCAGCUUAAAUUUGAGGGCUCCCGUUGCCCUGGAAUAAACCCCUAGUUUUCAGACUUCCUGGAGCCACCAUCCUUCAUCUCUUCUGUUUACUUUUUUCUCUUCUGUUUAAAUUGGAGGGCCAUUUAUGCCCUCCCCUUCUCCUUGCUGAAGUUGUGUACACAAUGACUGGCACAGAGGUGUUUCUACCUGCACAGGCUCAUGACAUUCUCACAGUCAGCCCAUAGAUCGGUUUCUUCUCUCAAUCUCAGAGAUAAGGAAACUGAGGUCUUAAGUGGUUAAGUCAUUUGUCCCAGGUCGCCUGGCAGCAAGUUGUACCCACAGUGCUAGCCAAUGUCUCGCUGACAUGUGUGGGCACCACAUGGGCCCAUCCAUGGUCAGGGACUUUUCCUGGCUCUGCCCAUAGCAUCCUCAUUCGUCUUGUUUGCUUAUAUGUUUCUUACAACUACCUCACAGCCUCAACCAUGUCUUUAAAAUUAUUCAAUUAUUCAUAGAGCUGGAUUUACAAGUCUAGGUCUCCUUCGUCAGGGGUGGCCUUCUCCGCUCCUCCUCCUCCUCUCUGGAGGUGGUUUCAUCACAGACUGUAAAGGUUCUGUAAAAAAUAAUCUAGUCCGUCUGCCUGAAGCAGUUCUCCCCCUGCACCAGUGACUCCUGCUAUGGUAUACUGGGGUAGUUACAGGAUUUUUUUUUUCUUUUUUUUUUUCGAGACAGAGUCUUGCUCUGUCACCCAGGCUAAAGUACAGUGGCACGAUCUUGGCUCACUGCAACCUCCACCUUCCAGGUUUAAGCC